rnacentral:rRNA from 1 species
GACAGAGGCCUCAAGCGUUAGGCGGAAUCACUGGGCUUAAAGCGUGUGUAGGCGGAUCGUUAAGUGUCUUGUGAAAUCCCACGGCUCACCCGUGGAACUGCUGGGCAUACUGGCGAUCUUGGGCCAACUAGGGGCAACUGGAACAAGCGGUGGAGCGGUGAAAUGCGUAGAUAUCGCUUGGAACGCCAAAGGUGAAAACAGGUUGCUGGGGUUGUGCCGACGCUGAGACACGAAAGCCCAGGGGAGGCAAACGGG